GCCCUCGUAGCUCAGCGGUUAGAGCUUCCUCUUAUUGUGAAAAUAGCUCCCGUCAUUCUUGAGGAAGGUGUGGGUUCGACUCCCGCUGAGGGUG